rnacentral:rRNA from 1 species
CAGCCGCCGCGGUAAUACAGAGGGUGCGAGCGUUAAUUGGAUUUACUGGGCGUAAAGCGUGCGUAGGCGGCUUCUUAAGUCGGAUGUGAAAUCCCUGAGCUUAACUUAGGAAUUGCAUUCGAUACUGGGAAGCUAGAGUAUGGGAGAGGAUGGUAGAAUUCCAGGUGUAGCGGUGAAAUGCGUAGAGAUCUGGAGGAAUACCGAUGGCGAAGGCAGCCAUCUGGCCUAAUACUGACGCUGAGGUACGAAAGCAUGGGGAGCAAACAGGAUUAGAUACCCCAGUAGUCCCUGUCUCUUAUAC